UUAUCUUCAUCCGUUCGAAGCCCGAUUUACGCUACCCACCCCUUUGCAAGCUAGAUCUAAUUUACCCACACCUACACGAAGUCGUUUUGCGGUGUGAGUUCGACGCAAACUUAAGGACGUGGUUGAGUGUGAACAGGGUUGACCAUGGUGAUGACGUGGAGGGGGCUUGACGGAGGAGGGAUCACUAGUCGAGUUAGUGAGGAUAGAGGGAAGGGUCGUUUGGUACGAGUAGCGUUGGGAUUUAUUUUAUUGCUAGGUGUGGACCCGAGGAGCGAUUUUGUUUUCUUUAGAACUACUUUUAUUUUUUUUUA